rnacentral:rRNA from 1 species
CCUACGGGAGGCAGCAGUGAGGAAUAUUGGUCAAUGGACGAGAGUCUGAACCAGCCAAGUAGCGUGAAGGAUGACUGCCCUAUGGGUUGUAAACUUCUUUUAUAAGGGAAUAAAACGAGGUACGUAUGCCUUUUUGCAUGUACUUUAUGAAUAAGGAUCGGCUAACUCCGUGCCAGCAGCCGCGGUAAUACGGAGGAUCCGAGCGUUAUCCGGAUUUAUUGGGUUUAAAGGGAGCGUAGGUGGGUGGUUAAGUCAGUUGUGAAAGUUUGCGGCUCAACCGUAAAAUUGCAGUUGAUACUGGGAGUCUUGAGUGCAGCUGAGGUAGGCGGAAUUCGUGGUGUAGCGGUGAAAUGCUUAGAUAUCACGAAGAACCCCGAUUGCGAAGGCAGCUUACUAAACUGUAACUGACGCUGAUGCUCGAAAGUGUGGGUAUCAAACAGGAUUAGAUACCCCAGUAGUC